UUGUUUCUGCCGAUUCUGAACUCGAUCUUGAUAAUAAUUCUGAUCAUAAUGACCGUCGUCGUUGAUUUGCUCGUUCGUUUUGUAUUCUUCGUUCUUGUGAUUAGGAGGCAUAGUUUCAUCGGUCUGUACAUUUUCCUGCUGCUGUUGUUGUUGUUGCUGUUGCUUUCGCAAUUGCCCUAUCAAUUGACUGUUAACGUUUCCAGCAGCUGCCAGGGCUGCCAAUUUUUCCGCAGCCUCUCGAUUAGGCAGCGUCGUGUAAAAUUGCGUCGACAUUGCAUCGUUGUUGGCCACUUUGUUAAAGCCAGCGUUCUCUUCCUCGUUCAGAGGUGAUUCCGGUCCUACGUUGUAAUUCGUAUUGACCCUGCCAGCAGCGUAAUCCUGGUUGAAUAA
rnacentral:misc_RNA from 1 species